CGGACGGGUGAGUAACACGUGGGUAACCUCCCAUAAGACUGGGAUAACUCCGGGAAACCGGGGCUAAUACCGGAUAACAUUUUGAACUGCAUGGUUCGAAAUUGAAAGGCGGCUUCGGCUGUCACUUAUGGAUGGACCCGCGUCGCAUUAGCUAGUUGGUGAGGUAACGGCUCACCAAGGCAACGAUGCGUAGCCGACCUGAGAGGGUGAUCGGCCACACUGGGACUGAGACACGGCCCAGACUCCUACGGGAGGCAGCAGUAGGGAAUCUUCCGCAAUGGACGAAAGUCUGACGGAGCAACGCCGCGUGAGUGAUGAAGGCUUUCGGGUCGUAAAACUCUGUUGUUAGGGAAGAACAAGUGCUAGUUGAAUAAGCUGGCACCUUGACGGUACCUAACCAGAAAGCCACGGCUAACUACGUGCCAGCAGCCGCGGUAAUACGUAGGUGGCAAGCGUUAUCCGGAAUUAUUGGGCGUAAAGCGCGCGCAGGUGGUUUCUUAAGUCUGAUGUGAAAGCCCACGGCUCAACCGUGGAGGGUCAUUGGAAACUGGGAGACUUGAGUGCAGAAGAGGAAAGUGGAAUUCCAUGUGUAGCGGUGAAAUGCGUAGAGAUAUGGAGGAACACCAGUGGCGAAGGCGACUUUCUGGUCUGUAACUGACACUGAGGCGCGAAAGCGUGGGGAGCA
rnacentral:rRNA from 1 species